AGAAGGAACACAGAGUCAGAGAGAAAUGGAAAGAGGCUGCGCUGCUGGCCUGGAAGGUGGAGGAAGGGCCAUGAGCCGAGGAGUGCAACGGCCUCAGAGGCCACAAAGGCUCCAGCUGAAGGUGGAAGGGUGGUUCUGCUGUGUUCUCUUCCUUGGAAUUUCUGGGAAAACCACGAGCGGGACUAGAACCCAAAAUCUUCAUUCCAUCGUCAAUGAAAGCCAAAGACACCUGGACCUUGGAAACAGUCUGAGCCUUCCUGAUGGAGAGCGGAUGAGGACCGGAGGGAAAGGGACACCGGACUUUGGAAACAGUCUAAGCCUUCCCGAUGGAGAGUGGAUGAGGACCGGAGAGAAAGGGCCCUGAGAAAGUAGGCUGCUGCCCUGGAUCCCAGACCCAACCAGAGUGGCACAGAGUCCUCCAGAACAGAGCGUGCCCCCGGGAGAGCCACCGGCCCUGCUGCACCUGCUGGGGUGUCCCUGCUGUUCACCCUCCCUGGGCUCCUGGACCACAGCGGGGCAGAGUGGAGGAGGAGGUGUGCACAGAGGCACCAUUGUUGUGGGAAGCAGUUUGUUGGUGAGGAGGGAGCUGCGGUCCUGCAUGACAUCCACACGUGUGACAUCCACACGCGUGAAAUCAGCACACACGCGUGACAUCCACACGCGUGACACCCACAUGCGUGACACCAGCACACACGUGACAUCCACGCACAUGACAUCAGCACACACGUGUGACAUCCACACGCGUGACAUCAGCACACGUGUGCCAUCCACACAUGUGACAUCAGCACACACGCAUGACAUCCACACUUGUGACAGCACACACGCACACACACUCAUCAUUCAGACAGGACUAGCACAAGAACCGCACGGAAUGACCACAGAGGGUCUUGGCGGGAACGGAAAACAAGCUGCCUCCAACCUCGUGCAGCCUCUUUUUCCUCCAGAUCAUCGCUAAGUCCUCCCAGGGCUGGUGUGCCCGAGAAGCAGGAGGGUUCCCGAGAGCAGCUUUUUGCUCCCAGGAGUGGCAGGUUCCUGCCGCCUGACAGGCUGCUCGCGGAGGAGGCUGGAGCCAGCACAAACGCCAUGUCUUGUCGAGACCUUCACUAGAGUCUCUCCGGUUGUUUUUUUUCUCGAGAAAAAUAUUGGAAAAUUGGUGAAAAUAUUUACAUCGAUUUUAUCUCUUUAUCUUGGUUUGACUUUUUUAUUCUCCUUUAAGUUGAUUCAUUUUUAGUGAAGUGCAAAAUAAAUUCUCAUGUUUGAAGUUUUGGAAAAGUCUGCAGUCCCAGGGAGGUGAUGGGUUAAAUGCUGUUUGUUGACUGUGGACUGCAGAUGGCUCAGCUCUUACCUUGACAAGGACGGUGAGGACGGCAGACAUGGGCGCCCGGCUGCUGUGCCUCCCUCCCUGCCUGGCUUCUGCCUGAUGCUGCUGCUGAGCCCCCGAAUUGCCUCACCAGACCCCGUCCACCCAGACACUGGGAGCCCAUGGCCAAACUGGUGUGUCUUGCAUUAAAAAUAAAACCCAUUUAUGACAUCUGA